rnacentral:lncRNA from 1 species
AACGGCUCUAAUGAAGUCUACGGAGAGCAGUUUCUCAGGACUUGGGUACGAGAAUAUGCCAGAGACAUUCUUGAUGGACAAGGCCAGCCAAGAAUAUGCAUAGGAUCUAAACUUUAUGGGAAACUCUGCUCUUGAGCACAGCGAUGCUAGAAUGCAGUUAAUCUAUUUGACACUUUGAUUCAUCUACAGCCUGGUUCCUGCCCUUGGAGAUCUUCUCAACCUCUUGGAUAUUGUCUGGCUGUUUCUCUAGGGUGCACGUAGGUGAACACCCACAUGUGUAUGUGUAAGCAUGUCUGUUGCACAGAUCUGAUAUUUGACUUCAAAGAUGCCCGUUAACACCUUCACUCCGCCCUUAGCUUGAGCUACAGGCUUGGUGACCAGCAGGUGAAGAGCAGGAUGACUGGAAAGAGGUGGUCAGCAAGGGAGAUCACCGGUUGUAGAGGCAGAACAUCUGAAGAUCGGUAUGCAAGAAUGGCAGCUCACGGAAACUUUCUCCAGUUUGCAGUUGUCCUUCUGGGCAUUCCCUGCACAGCCAAGCUUGUGAUCACUCCUGCGAUCAGCACCCUGUGUGUUCUUGGUCCUCUGUGGUCAUUUAUCUUUCCAAGGAGCUCCAUCUCUGCCCAGGAUUGCCGGAGACCCUGGCUUGUUUGGCUCUGUGCCAGUUGUUGAGUUUCUGACACUCUGUUUCCAGUACACCCUUCCGUGCUUCUGCCCUGGAAACCAGCUGUGUCAUUUGUCAUCUAAUCCCUGAUAGCUUUGCCCACUGGGGUAGAGACUGGAGACUGGAGGAGGAAGUCAAGACUGGCUGCUUCCUGUUGGUUUCCUUCCUGUGACCUUUAACCUGCCAAAUACUGGCUGUGACAUCUACUUCCUGUAGAGACAGUGGGAUCCUGUCUGUGGUCUUCUUUCAACACUCACUGCACCCCAAGCAGAGAUACAGCACCAGCUGGUGGGUGACCCUCUUCAAGAUGUCCAGAUCCAGGCCCGUGGAGCCCCUUCUCUGAGCCCAGAGAUACCCGCCUCUGAGACUGAGUUUCAGCUCCACAGGGCUCUUCCUCCAAGCUUGCAAGCUCUAACAAGUCCAGUUUCCCUGCAGCCUUUGUGGUACAGGCUACUUCCCUCAGUUUGUACCUACAAGACACCUUAGUGCUUGUCUCUUUUACCUUUUCAGCUAUCUAGUUAACGGUCUUAAUACCUUAUUAUUAACUGAACUUAUUGUUCAGUUGCUCAGUUGUCUCCGACUCUAUGCCAUACUGUGGACUGCAGCACACCAGGCUUCCCUGUCCUUCACUGUCUCCCGCAGUUUGCUCAAAUUCAUGUCCAUUGAGGCAGUGAUGCCAUCCAACCAUCUCAUCCUCUGUCAUCCCCUUCUCCUGCCUUCAGUCUUUCCCAGCAUCAGGGUGUUUUCCAAUGAUUUGUCUCUUCACUUCAGGUGACCAAAACAUUGCAGCUUUAGCUUCAGCAUCAGUCUUUCCAAUGAAUAUUCAGGACUGAUUUCCUAUGUUGUCCAAAAAAAACACCAAAAACCCUUGAUGGUUUCAAUGGCUCUGGACACUGUGUCCAUCCCCUCAUCAACCCCUUAUAGUGGGUCAGACCACGUUCUGGUUGUUGAGGGUCAGAUGACUACAACAGAGGGCAGGUGGGAGAUGUCAGUUUCACCUGAUCCAAAUAGACUAGGGCAUGGUUGUGGUUCCUUCCCCAUCCUCCACCCCCUAAAUCUAGGUGUUGUGACCUGAAGGUGGGGAAAUGGAUGCCAGCUGUAAAAACAACAGAUACCUCUCACAGCAGAGGCCCGGGAGGAAGGAGAGAGAAGUGAGCAGGGCCCUUGUGAGGCCCCCCUCAGAUCUCCCCUCAAGAGAGGCUGGCCGUGGAAACGUGACGGAUGGGCAGCCUCCAGCAGCCGUGUCUGUGGACACAGGUCCUGCCCUCCUCGCUCUGCUGGGGCUGCUCGCGGCCGGUGACUGAGCACAGGGGAAGCCCUGGACCCGGGCUCAGUGCGGGAUUUCUCCGUCAGGUAAUAUCAGUUCAGUCCACGGGGUCACACAGAGUCAGACACGACUGAGCGACUAACACGACUACUGCUAGCACACUGUGCAUUUCCACGAACAUUUGUAACCAACAGUGGACUUGCUACUGGUAACACUUUUCUUCUUAAAAAUAAAUUAAUCAAGAUUUUAAGCCGCA